AAAAUUACCCUUUAUUUCGAAAAGCUUGAGUCCAGCCAUAAAGGGUAGUCUUGGAACUUUGUAAAUUUUUGAAUUUUAUUUGCGCUUGUGAAAAUUUACCUCUGCAAGGGGAACUGGAUGAGGAGGAUUCGAUUCCCACGGAGCCAAUUGAAGGAAAACUGCGAAAAAUUAUGUGGGAGCUGCGGAUUCGUGAAAAAUUAAGCAACGUCUCUUCCAAUCUUUGGAUGGUUGUAAGAAUUCGAUUCCGUCAUCAUGAUGAAGGUCCAACUUUGUGUAUUCCCACAAGCAGCCAAAUAGGGACAAUGAAAGAUACGCAAACGAUUUAUAAAAAUUUUGCUUGUGAUACUUA